rnacentral:lncRNA from 1 species
GGUGUGUCCUAACCUCUGUUCUCUGCCUAUUAUUAUUAUUGUUUAUCCUUCAUGUACUUUCUUCAAAUGCAGUUCCUCUGUGUAAGUGUCAUCUAAUCUAUUUUCUUACUGGACUUUUUUGUCCUUUUCCUUGAUAUUUUCAGAGCAUAGAUUUUAUUCUUUACUGAACUAUUCAAUGAUGUUGCACGCUAUGCUCAUUUAACUCACCAGAAUCGAACUGCAGACCUUCAGAAUGGAAAAAAGAGAGAGAGAAAGAGCAAGAGAUGCUUCUCUCCAUUUCUUCUGAAUCAAUCUCUAAAGUUCUACUGGAAAUACAUUCUCGGGAUCCACUGGAGCUGGGCUUAUGAAAUACCCAGAGGGGUGAGUGGAAGGUCUCAUACUUUAGCGUUAAGGCUGUAAGCUAUUUGACUGCAAGAACUGGACUUUAUGUUGUAC